CCAAAAAACGGACAAGAAAAUAAAUUUACAAUUUAAAAUGAAGAGAAUGAAAUAUUCUAGAAAGAAAUCAGAGAAUUAAAUAAUAUCAUAUACAAGGAAGCCAGUAUAUGGCUUGGCCAACGUCCAUUAAUUUUUCAGAAACAAACGAGUGCACAGCAAUGAGAGAGAGAGAGACACGUCAUCUUCUUCCUGUCGAUCGUUUUCUGCCACGACUCCGGCGGCCGGCCGACGUGACGACAAAGCAGAAGCCAGUUGGAUCAGUUGUCGUCAUCGGAAGUCGACGCUCUGAGCCGCAGUUUCGGUUGCAGUUGCAGCCUCAAAACACCUGCACAACAUUUGUUCCUCCACUCAAUUUCAAAUCCAUACAAUCCAGAAACAUCCAAAUCCUGAAAAUACCUGGAAGACUUAUGAAACUGACGAUUGCCAGAUCAAUUUCUUGGAAUUUACAGAGAUGGAAGCGGAAGACAGAUUGUUGAAUUGGGAAAAACAGAGCGAAAAAAGGGCAGUAGUUCUUGAAUUGAUGAAUGGUUCAAAAGAACGAACCAAUUGGUACAACAAUCUCACACAAACUCAAACCCUUUCCAAAGACUCCAAAAACACAAACACAAACAAAAACAGUGAAAUCUUCUUUUUUGCAUUAUUCACAUAGCUCUUUUAUUAACUCCUUCGAAAAUCAGAUAAACAAAAAAAAAAAAA